rnacentral:tRNA from 1 species
GUGGUUAUAUCUCAGUGGUAGAGCACUCGCCUAGCAUGUGCGAGGCACUGGGCUCAAUCCUCAGCACCACA